rnacentral:lncRNA from 1 species
CUCCAUUUAGACUUAGCUAAGAUUAGAUCUAAACACUAGAGCUUAGCUCAUGUACCUCCCCUUGUGGGAUUCCUCUUGAGAGAGAGACACUCCAUUGGAGUUCAAGGCUUCCAUUGGAGAAGAUCCCUAGUGGAUGAAGACCCCCUUGAGGGAAGGAUCUAUCUAGAUCAUCAAGCCCUCAUCUCCUUCAUAGGAUUUGGGAUGAACUCUACCAUGUAUCUUAUUUGCAUUUGAUUGUUCGUGUACCUUGUGGAUCUUGUGUGUUUGAUUGUCUAGUGGAUGUGUGAUUUGACUUGUUCUUGAGUGUUCCUCUUCUUUUCCCUCAUUUGUUCAUCUUGUUCUUGGGGAUUCCCCCUCCAAUUCGUGAAAGAUCUCCUCAUAGGGUUUCACCCUACAUCAUCUUGGUAUCAUGAGCCAUGGUUUCUCACGAAAUUGGAGCCCCCCUCUUUGUUUUCUAGCCUAAUUUUGCUUGUUCUUGCCCAGUUUCGAAAAUUCCCCACAAAAAGAGCCAUACCAAUUUUUUUUGUGAUUUGAAGUUUUUGUGAGUUUUUGUUGAUUUUGAUCCAUGGAUAUGAUGUAUAGCAAGUAGAUAUACCCCCUCUUGCGUCCCCAUACCACAAUUUUUUCUUUCCCCUUCGAAUUUGACAAGAAAAUUGCAAAAUUUCCGCCUACCCCGUGCCCACGGGCUCCCCACCCCGUGCCCACGGCCCCCCGCGAAGUACCUGGAGACGCCGUGUCCUCGGUACGUGUACCGUGCACACGGGACCCCAUGUCCACGGGCCCUGGACACUGUGCGCACGACCCCCUACAGCAGCCGCCCGGAUGUCACCAUUUUGGCCGUAACUUUCGCAUCCGAACUCCGAUUUGGGUGUUCUUUGGCUCAUUGAAAAGCUAGCGACGUGCCCGAGGUGCUCAUCUUGGUUUUACCACCAUUUGACUUCAUCAAAUUUUGUCCAUUUUACAUCUCUUGCAUCGGCCCUCCGCCAUAACUUUCGCACCACCACAUAAAACUUCCGCAAACUAACCCAUUUUGGUUCCUUUGGUAUUUGUGGUUGUUUGAGUUGUGAUUUGAGUCUCCUAAGGUGUUUCGGCUACUUAGGGACGGUUGCAUCUUCAUCCACCAUCGGUGACUUGUAUCGGUCCAUCGACUACAUCCACCACGAGCUUCCACAUCGACGAUGACCAUCCAUCCUUUGAGACCAUCUUCAACUGGAAGCAAGGCCAGUUACCCCCGACUUUGUGAAAGGUUAAAUGUGACGAAGGUAUCCAUUCCGUCAUAAACUUCUCCUUCCUUGCCAUUACAUCUUGAUAGCCCCACCAUCUUUGCGAAUACCUUCAUACCCAUUGAGACUAGCUAUCCGAGUAUUGCCGGGCUUAGCGAAAACUUGUGCACCAUAGUGAUACAAUAUCAUAUUGUUGCAUCAUUAGAUAUAUCAUAGUGUGCCAUUGUUUACUCCUGUGCAUAUCUUGUGAUACUUGUCCCAUAUUUGUGGUUGAGGCUCAUCAAGCAUAGUGGAAAGGAAGAGGAAAGUCAAAACAAAAAGAAAAAAAAGAAAAGCUUUUAAGCAAGAAAGAGAAUGAUCAUAAGCUUAUAAGCAAAGAGUUGAGCAUGAAAAGAGAUACUUGUGCAUGAGGAUACAUGGAAUAGGAAAUAUUCUUGUUGCAUACAUAUAGGUUGGUGCCAAGUAGUGAAUCGUGCCCAAGUGUGCAAUCAAGCUAGUGCUCUCCUAGUGUUUGUGCAACACGAUCUUCGUCUUCAUUAGGCAAUUUUGUAUUUCUCAUCCCUAUAGUUGCACAAGCCCCAUUAUCCCACCGUGUGUGUUUUUUUAUUGCCCUCCUCUAUAUUUGUGAUCACUUGCUUUGCAUUUUGAGUCCUUUGGAUUUAUUUCAACAUUUACAAUAUCUUGGACUUCAAUUUUCAUGAAAUUUGUGCCACUUGUCCUAACCAAGCCACUCGAUAAGCUUUACUUUGUAGGUGUGAGUGAACAAGUCCGGUACCAAUUCCACUAUUCUUUCAUUUCACAUUGAGUGAUACAAGAUACAUCCUCAACUUUGGGAAAAGGUAGCUUGGUAUUGUUUAUCUCAUUUCCUACUCACCUUUGCUCGAGUCUUGUGAUGGAUAGGCAAAGCACAUCAUCUCCGGUCUACAACAACGACGACGAGUUCGAUGCUAUGAAGAACUUCAUCGACGCCAAGAUGGACAAGCACAUGGAGGAGCUCAAGGCCCUCAUCAAGAACCGCAAGCGAUCUUCCUCAUCUUCGAGAAGACGCUCAAGUGCAAAGACUCCCGAGCUACCAUCUCCAGCAAGUACACACAAGCAUCGACAUUGACAUGACCAUGAAGAGCGAGCUUUAGGACACGUGUUGGCUGCUCUGCCAACCCCGUGCACACGGCCUCUUGCACCCCCGUGCACAUGGGCUAUACAGAGCCGCGACAUCAACUACAAGGCUGCGACUUCUUCAACACCUUUGGCAUCUUCGCCAAGUGACUUCAAGGCAUAUUUGCCUUCGGACGUACGGCAUCUUCGCCUACUCCACGAUCUCAAGUCCACUACUUCGAGCUACAACGACUUCAACAUCGCCGACGAGAUUCCAUUCUUUGGGACUAAUGACCCCGAUGAAUACCCCGAAUAGGAGUGCAAGAUGGACGACUACCUCAAGCUACAUCAAGUACCCUCCAAAGUCCAAGUGAAGUGCGCCACAAGUACCUUCCAUGACUAUGCGUUGAUUUGGUGGCUUCACUCACCUUCGAGGAGCUUCGACAUGAGUUGGUCCAACACGAAGAAAGCGAUGAGGCGAGAAUUUGUGCCUUCCACCUACACGGGACAUCUUCAACGCCAAUUGGAGAACACCAUACAAGUAUCCAAGUCCCUCGACGAGGACUUCAAGAACAUGAAGGAAGCCUUGCGACCUGCCGGCGUGGAUGACCCCAUUUGGAUGAAGUUCUACUUCAUGAUGGGAUUGAACAACGACAUCUCCAAGACUAUCUUCCUCGAGAACUACAAGUCCCUCGACGACAACUACUUUGGUGCUCUCAAGGCGGAGCAAGAACUCAAGAAGGCCAUGUCUAAUCGACCCCGAGCUCACUUCGCAACGACCAUGCUACAAGAUGGCGAGAGUGAUGAUGUGCCAUCUUCAGCCUUCAUCCAUGACGAGAGUGAUGAUGUGCCAUCUUCGGCCUUCAUCCACGGCGACGACUACGAGAUGGUUGAGCAUGGGAUUCUCCCUUUGACCACGGCGAUGUAUGAUGACUUGAGUGACUUUUUCCAACAUAUUGAGAGUGAGAGUGACUUCACCACUAGCCCCAUAUAUGAUGAGCUGCCCCAAUUCCCAUGUGAGGAGAGCCACCACCACCACCACUUGAGUGAUGUGAGUGCCUCCACCAUAUGCGACAUUGAGUGCACCUACCUUGACGGAGUGAGUGAGCCACCGCCACAUAGAGAGAGUGAGAUAGUUGAUGAGGCAUAUGAGGCCAUUUCGGUUUCUAACAACUUAACCUCUACCUCUCUUGUGUCUUCUCAUUUGGUGCUAGGUCCCAUAUAUGAUGACGCGCCGAUCCUCGACGACUUUGUCCUCCCUUUGGACAUGACGAUGGCCAUGGUGGACUAUGAUGCACCACCCACAUGGUUCCAUCACGAUGAAGAUGAACACGAUUUGGUCUUCCCCACCUCACCUACACCACUUGAGUGGAACGACAAAGGUAACAUAGGUAAAGGUGAUGCUUUUGUCCCACUAGUGGACAUUCUUGACAUUGAUUGCUUGCAUGAUGUUGAUCCACCUAUUACCAUGCUUCAUUCUAGUAUGAUUUCCCCAUGCGAUGAUUUGCCCAUUUAUGAUGAGUUUGAUGAUUGCCAUGAGGAGUCUAGUAGUUGUGAUGCCAUGUUACAUAGGAUUUCUUGUGAUAAUUCUCUUGGUCACAUCAUGUUUGAUGAUCCGCUUGACUUGUCAUAUGCUAUGCAUGAGCUCUCCCGUAUGUCAUAUUUGCAAUCUCAUUGUAGUGACUAUGCAUAUGCCAUUAAAAUAAACCCAAUUUGCACAUAUGGCAUAGAUGACAAGCCCAUGGUUAUUGGCAUUUGUUUUUCUUGUGAUGAUAUUGAUAUGCUCCCUUUGCAUCAAUUAUCUAAUAUGCCAUGCCAUGACCACCUAGCUUCGAACAUGCAUUGUUUGCCAUGUUGUCCAUUUUCUCCAUAUUAUGCUUUUGAUAUUGCUCAUGAGAAGACCCCCCAUAGUUUCCUCAUACCCAUUAGGAGAUUUUGAUCCAUCCUAUGAUUUGCAUGAUUUCCAUGAUUGUGUGCACCAUAUGCUCCCCAUGAAUAAACAUUCUUUUGAUGUGCCAUAUACUUGUUUGCUCAAUUUGUGUCCCCAUCGUGUCAUACAUAACAACUAUUCUUUCAUGAUGGAUGACAUGUUCAUAUACCAUGCCUCAAAUUUCUUUGAGCAUUGCUUAUCUUGUGCUAACUCACACGUGCACAUACACAUCAUGAUGGAUGAUGUGUACAUUUACCACACACACACAAUUUCUUUCAUUUGUGUCUCUUUUGUGUAGGUACCCAUGAAUACUUGUCAACCUCGCAAUCCCACGAGUUGACAAAACGAGCUCUAGAGAGCAACGAUGAUUUGGGAUUACGUGGAUUUUCAUUCCCACCGCUCCCUGUGCGCAAGGACUUCGCGCAUCUCUUCUACAUGGCCCUCACAUGGUUAUGGGUUAUAUAUCACUUCUUCCUUUAUGCCCAUAUUGCCAUGUUCAUUUUGCAUGAUAUGCUCAUUCCUAUGCAUUUGUCAUGCAUUGGUGACCCAUGCUUCGCAUUACACAUGAUGAUUGAUUCUAGUACUUGUAUGUGUAUUUGCAAGCUUGGUGGAGACAUUGCUUGUUAUUGCCAUGUUCCAUUUGCGACCCAUACCUAUGAUGAUACUAUGAUCUUGCUAUGUGUUCAUGCUAGCAACAUGUCAUAUGCAUUGUCUAUGCCUCUUAUUUGCUCACAUGACAUGAUUGCCAUGAUUUCCUCUAGUAUGUUGCAUCUUCACACUACUAGCUUGCAUGACUUGAUUCCUAUGAUUGCUUGCUUUGUUGCAUCACCAAUGCUUCAUACUUACUUAUUUCAUGCGGUUGAUGACAACCAUCUACAUGUUUGUCACAUGAUUGACUUGAUUGCCUCACACAUGUUGAACAAUUGCUCUUUACUUUGUGUUGAGUGCCACAAUAUCUUCACUACACCCUAUGCACAUUAUGCUUGGAUUGUCUUGCACUUGCCCCAUGUGUUUAGACAUUUCACUAUAGUUGGUGUUGUGAAUGACUCUUAUGCCUACCAUAGACCGUUCAUUGAGCACUUUAUGCAUGCUUGCUAUGACCUUGAAGUAGAUGCUUGUUUACUUAUCACAUAUAUUUGCAUCUCUACCUACCAUUUGCAUGCUUGUUCCCAUGAUGUACUUGAUUGUGCUCAAUUUAUAUGCUCAAAUGCCAUGCCACACUUCUUUGUCAAACCAUAUGCUAUGCUGGAUGACAACACUUGUUGGGUGGAUCACCUCUUGAAUGCUUGGUUUUGCUCUUACGACAACCACAUUUGUUUUUCCAAGUGCUUGUUAUCUUUGCUCCUUUUGAAGGAAUUACAAGAUGGUGCGACAUUAGAGAGUGCCCAUUUGGAACUACAAAAUGAUGAAUGCUUGGUGAUCGUCCACUUCUACACGAUGCCAUCAUCUCUUUCCCAUGGUGAUUUGGAUUUCUAUCCGAGGUUGGAUCUUUCCCAAAAGGGAGGGGAUGAUGCGGAGCAUCCUAUGGACAUCACCAUGUCAAGAGUCCAUUUGGCAAGUGACACGUGCCACAUCUACUUCAUGCAUACAAAGGUGAAUCAUCUCCUUUACACGUGUUCACUUGUACCCUUCGAGGAUGGUAUACUACUUGACCCCUCUCUCGUGUGCAUACUUAGGUGUGAGCGGAGCUACACAUUCAUCAUGGAGGAAUCCAAGCGCAAGAGAACAACUACACCAUCCAAGAUGGAAGCCUGGAAGCAGAGAAGGAAGCGCCAAGAAGAAGGCAGCAGCUCCCAGGCGACCGCGUGCGCACGGGCCCCUCCUACCCCAUGCCCACGGGCCUCCCAGGCUGGCGGUCCUGAAGACCCCGCGCGCACGGGCAUGUACCAUGCCCACGGGACCCCCGUGUCCACGGGCCUCCUGAACCCUGUGCGCACGGGCUCAUGCGUCCGGUCUCUAGAUACCCCGUGCGCACGGGCUCCACUUACCCCAUGCACACGGGGCCCCCUGUGCGUGGCUGUUGGGCUUGGCCCUUGUAUCCCCAUCUCGCCCCUAUUUACGCCUUCAUCCCUUGGACCUAUAUAUACUCCCCUUCCUCCUACAUUUAGACUUAGCUAAGAUUAGAUCUAAACACUAGAGCUUAGCUCAUGUACCUCCCCUUGUGGGAUUCCUCUUGAGAGAGAGACACUCCAUUGGAGUUCAAGGCCUCCAUUGGAGAAGAUCCCUAGUGGAUGAAGACCCCCUUGAGGGAAGGAUCUAUCUAGAUCAUCAAGCCCUCAUCUCCUUCAUAGGAUUUGGG